CUAAGCUGAAAUGACGUCACUUGGUGAGUUUAUUCGCCCUCCGAAGCAUUGAUUGGAAACAUCGAAGGAUUCAUUUCCUUUGUUUAGAGGUGACAGCCAUAAAAAGGACGAAGAUAAUCGCUUCCACCCUUCAUGCAGGCUCUUGUGAAAACAGCCAUCUUGAAAGAAAACAGUUCAAAACAGGCAGCACUUUAACGUUUUGACCUGAGCGUCUGUCAUCUUCAGGGCCUUGGCGAGAGUUGCGCGCUCCGCGGACGCCAGAUACUUCUGCCGGUGGAAGCGUUUCUCCAGCUCACAGAUCUGCACGCGGCUGAACGACGUGCGGGGCUUUUUCCGUUUCGGUGGAGUUCGGUUCUGGUACGGAUGGCCGAUCCGUCGUGUCACGGAGAACGGUGAAAGAGCAGCUGAAAAACAAGAUUUAGGAGCUAUGUCAGGUGUGCCGAUUGGAGAACAAAUCUAAUAACAAAUUUCCCAGAAACACUCCUCCGCAGAUACAUAUGUGGGUCAAAUGGAAACAAAAACAAUCCCCGUAUUCAGUCUCGACAGCAGAGGGAAUUCUAAAUGAUAAGUCUGGGUAAUAAAAUUUAUGGUGAGCACAUCAAAAAAUCAAAGCUUGCCUUAGAGAAUAUGCGACCAGUAAUAAAAUCAGUUAUACGUGAUAUCACCUUCAUGCGACAGCGCCUGCCUUUCCCAUUGCGCAUAUUACCUUUGUUGAAAUCUAAUAAAUAUACAUGUAAUGGUUUCAAAGCGCGAUAUUGAAAUGUAACAUGGGCAUUUGUCGCUAUUUGAGGCAAAACAAAAUGUGCCUUUAAAUUUCCACUCAUGCUGGGAAUUGAAAUAUCGAAUAGAAUAAAAUAAUUGUCAGGAAAUGCCAUAAACCGACCGCUCGAGAGCCUCGUCUUCCCUUCAGACACUGUCACCAUGGCUACACGGCCUCGUCUCAGUUUCAUAAUCAUUUGUAUUUAUGGGUGGGAAAGAUCAUUAUUGUCAUUUCAGAUAGAGGGGCAUCCACAUGCAAUUUCAUUUUCCAGUUUCUCCAAGGCCAGUGCUAUCAGAUUACGACCAUCACCUGCCCCUUGUUGUGAUGCAGCUGGACCCAACAGCCCUCUCCAGCAGCGGUAAUACAAAUAAAUGUACCUACUGAUGAA